UGAAGUCGAGCGGCAGCGCGGGGCAACCUGGCGGCGAGCGGCGAACGGGUGAGUAAUACAUCGGAACAUGUCCAAUCGUGGGGGAUAGCCCGGCGAAAGCCGGAUUAAUACCGCAUACGCUCGAGAGAGGAAAGCGGGGGACCGCAAGGCCUCGCGCGAUUGGGUUGGCCGAUGUCCGAUUAGCUUGUUGGUGAGGUAAAGGCUUACCAAGGCGAUGAUCGGUAGCUGGUCUGAGAGGAUGAUCAGCCACACUGGGACUGAGACACGGCCCAGACUCCUACGGGAGGCAGCAGUGGGGAAUUUUGGACAAUGGGGGCAACCCUGAUCCAGCCAUUCCGCGUGAGUGAAGAAGGCCUUCGGGUUGUAAAGCUCUUUUGUCCGGAGCGAAACGGGCGCGGUGAAUAUCCGCGUCUACUGACGGUACCGGAAGAAUAAGCACCGGCUAACUACGUGCCAGCAGCCGCGGUAAUACGUAGGGUGCGAGCGUUAAUCGGAAUUACUGGGCGUAAAGCGUGCGCAGGCGGUUGUGUAAGCCAGAUGUGAAAUCCCCGGGCUUAACCUGGGAAUGGCAUUUGGGACUGCACGGCUGGGGUAUGGCAGAGGGGACUAGAAUUCCUGGUGUAGCAGUGAAAUGCGUAGAUAUCAGGAGGAAUACCGAUGGCGAAGGCAGGUCCCUGGGCUGAUACUGACGCUCAUGCACGAAAGCGUGGGGAGCAAACAGGAUUAGAUACCCUGUAGUCCACGCCCUAAACGAUGUCGACUGGUUGUUGGGGGUUUGACCUCUCAGUAACGAAGCUACGCGUGAAGUCACGCCGGGGAGUAGGCCGCAAGUUAAAACUC
rnacentral:rRNA from 1 species